GAUGAACGCUGGCGGCGUGCCUAAUACAUGCAAGUCGAGCGAACAGACGAGGAGCUUGCUCCUCUGACGUUAGCGGCGGACGGGUGAGUAACGCGUGGAUAACCUACCUAUAAGACUGGGAUAACUUCGGGAAACCGGAGCUAAUACCGGAUAAUAUAUUGAACCGCAUGGUUCAAUAGUGAAAGACGGUUUUGCUGUCACUUAUAGAUGGAUCCGCGCCGCAUUAGCUAGUUGGUAAGGUAACGGCUUACCAAGGCAACGAUGCGUAGCCGACCUGAGAGGGUGAUCGGCCACACUGGAACUGAGACACGGUCCAGACUCCUACGGGAGGCAGCAGUAGGGAAUCUUCCGCAAUGGGCGAAAGCCUGACGGAGCAACGCCGCGUGAGUGAUGAAGGUCUUCGGAUCGUAAAACGCUGUUAUUAGGGAAGAACAAAUGUGUAAGUAACUAUGCACGUCUUGACGGUACCUAAUCAGAAAGCCACGGCUAACUACGU
rnacentral:rRNA from 1 species